AUUGAUUGACAUGUAUGCAAAAUGUGGGAGUGUGGCUAAGGCCUGGGAAGUUUUUAGAGGAGUUAAGGAGAAAGAUAGAGUAGUUUGGAAUGCAGCUAUAUCAGGUCUUGCCAUGAAUGGGCAUGUGAAAACUGCAUUUGGGCUUUUCGGCCAACUGGAGAAGUUUGGAAUUCAACCAGAUGGGAACACUUUUGUAGGCUUACUCUGUGGCUGUGCUCAUGCUGGUUUAGUUGAUGAUGGUCGCCAAUUUUUCAAUAGCAUGGGUCGUGUUUAUCCCUGUGCUCCAACAAUUGAGCAUUAUGGAUGCUUGGUGGAUCUUCUUGGCCGCGCAGGUUUAUUAGAUGAAGCCCAUCACCUGAUUAAAAGUAUGCCAAUGAAGGCCAAUGCCAUUGUCUGGGGAGCCUUGCUGGGUGGAUGUAGGUUGCAUCGAGACACCCAGUUGGCAGAACAUGUAUUGAAACAGCUCAUAGCAUUGGAACCAUGGAACUCAGGAAAUUAUGUUCUCCUGUCAAAUAUAUAUUCUUCAAGUCAUAAAUGGGAUGAUGCAGCAAAAAUUAGGUCGAUCAUGAAUGAUAAAGGGAUUCAGAAAAUACCUGGAUGCAGCUGGAUAGAAGUUGAUGGAAUUGUUCAUGAAUUCCUCAUUGGUGAUAAGUCCCAUCCCUUAUCAGAGAGUAUAUAUGCAAAACUUGGUGAAUUGGAUAAGGAUCUAAAAGCAGCCGGCUAUGUACCCAAAACAGAUAAUGUAUUGUUUGAUAUAGAAGAGGAGGAGAAAGAACAUUUCCUUGGUUGUCACAGUGAGAAGCUGGCUAUAGCUUUUGGUCUGAUAAGCACAGAUCCAAAACACACGAUUCGAGUUGUAAAAAACCUUCGCGUUUGCGGUGAUUGUCAUGAGGCCAUAAAGCUGAUUUCUAGAAUUUCAGGUAGAGAGAUAAUUGUGAGGGAUAAUAAUCGGUUUCAUUAUUUCUCUGAAGGUUCGUGCUCGUGCAAGGAUUACUGGUAAAAUUAGAUAUAAAUCACUCCCAUGGCCUAAUGGCUCAUGUUCAACAGCUUGAGGCGAAAUUCCAUCAAUUGAAAAGGCAUUUGUCUCUCAAACAGAUCAAUCAUCAUUAUUUACUAGUGCAGGUUAGACAACAGUUUGCAUCUCUAUUUUUGUGUGCAGUGCUGACUGUCUAUUGCUGUUUGAAAUUAUCGGAAGCAUUGAGAUAAUCAGCAACAUGUUCUUAUUUGCAAUAACAAGUUUGGGUGCUAGUGACCCUAGAAGCUGUAGAGGGUGAAAUCAGUGUUUCUUUUGUUUUCCCACUGCACUUCACAUGUAAACCGGUAAGUUCCAUCUACUAUUUAGCUAAGAAAGAUGUCUUUUCAAUAGUUUUUCCCCUGUAUGAGUAGUAAUAUUAAGUUACUUAUUGUAUGGUGGAAAUACAAUUUAGCCUGCAGGGGACGAUAUCUGUAUUGGUCUGUUUGUUCAAGACAAUACCAUAUGCUAAGGCAAGUUUUUCAUCAUUUCAUCCUUUGCAAUUAUGCGUUUUGCCCACGUGCGUGCAAAUGGAAACAUUAUGAUGCUGUUUUAUUGUUUAGCAGAAUCAACGCAUUAAGUCAUUAAGAGAUCGUUUUGUGUAUUUCUUUUUAUUCAACAAGCUUUAUAAGUCUCAAAUAAUGCAUCUACUUUGUGUAUUAAUCAUUUGUCUUCUGAAAACUAUUUGGGUACUUGUGUCCAAAAGAAUCAACAUUUGAAUUGACAACCUAAAGGCCAUUGUUUUUUAAAUGCAUAAUCUGUUUUUGGUGUUGACUGGAAUUCUAAUUUUCAAAUGGAACAGAACCUGAUCAUUUGUAGGGACUUGCCUUGUUUUGUAUGGAUUCAUUUGAAGAAUGCCAUGGUUCCCUGCAAUUAUUCCUUCUGUACAAGUAUGAGUACUAUAAUGUUUUCUCCUUGAUUUUUAUUUUGGGUGGGAGGAAGUCAUUCCGUAGGCAAAAGGGUUAAAAACUUAUAAUUGUCUUGAUUCUGACAGGUUUUAUGUUGCAGGGGCUGGAGCAUGUUUGCAGUGUUCCUCUGAUUCAUCAUUCUUCAAAUUUGCAGCAGUAUUCUCUGGAAUACCAACAAUUGAUGUUAAGGGAGAGAAGAAAGUCUGAAAAGUGUUGCAGGCAUGUUAUAAUUAAACAGAAAAAAGACUCAUAAUGAUACGUAAUUCUAAUUCCUAAAGGCGUUCGAUAGUUCUUUCUUUUUAACUAGUUUCUAAGGGUUUAGCAUGAGCAUAUUGGAAAGAAUGCACGCUCUCGUGAUAAUUUCAUUGAUUGCUUUGCAAAAGUUUGCAAUCUGAAUGACACUUGAUAUAACUUCUGUUUAUGAAUCAUCUUCUUUCAAGUCAGGGAUGGCAAAUUACUUGUUCCUGAAUAAGAAAACCCGUUCCGCCCCAAUUCUGAAUUCAUAUGGGUGCAGAGACGAGGGAGCAAUCCCCGCUCCAAGCAAUCCCGUUGUCAUUCG
rnacentral:misc_RNA from 1 species